CCUACGGGAGGCUGCAGUGAGGAAUAUUGGUCAAUGGGCGCUAGCCUGAACCAGCCAAGUAGCGUGAAGGAUGACUGCCCUAUGGGUUGUAAACUUCUUUUAUAUGGGAAUAAAGUACGGUAUGUAUACUGCUUUGCAUGUACCUUAUGAAUAAGGAUCGGCUAACUCCGUGCCAGCAGCCGCGGUAAUACGGAGGGUGCGAGCGUUAAUCGGAAUUACUGGGCGUAAAGGGCGCGUAGGCGGAAUGUCAAGUCAAGGGUGAAAUCACUGCGCUCAACGUGGGAACUGCAUUUGAAACUGGCAAACUGGAGUGUGUUAGAGGAUAGCGGAAUUCGAGGUGUAGGAGUGAAAUCCGUAGAUAUCUGGAGGAACACCAGUGGCGAAGGCGACUAUCUGGCACAUAACUGACGCUGAGGAGCGAAAGUGUGGGUAGCAAACAGGAUUAGAUACCCUUGUAGUC
rnacentral:rRNA from 1 species